GAUGAACGCUGGCGGCGUGCCUAAUACAUGCAAGUCGAGCGAACGGACGAGAAGCUUGCUUUUCUGAUGUUAGCGGCGGACGGGUGAGUAACACGUGGAUAACCUACCUAUAAGACUGGGAUAACUUCGGGAAGCCGGAGCUAAUACCGGAUAAUAUUUUGAACCGCAUGGUUCAAAAGUGAAAGACGGUCUUGCUGUCACUUAUAGAUGGAUCCGCGCUGCAUUAGCUAGUUGGUAAGGUAACGGCUUACCAAGGCAACGAUGCAUAGCCGACCUGAGAGGGUGAUCGGCCACACUGGAACUGAGACACGGUCCAGACUCCUACGGGAGGCAGCAGCAGGGAAUCUUCCGCAAUGGGCGAAAGCCUGACGGAGCAACGCCGCGUGAGUGAUGAAGGUCUUCGGAUCGUAAAACUCUGUUAUUAGGGAAGAACAUAUGUGUAAGUAACUGUGCACAUCUUGACGGUACCUAAUCAGAAAGCCACGGCUAACUACGUG
rnacentral:rRNA from 1 species